rnacentral:lncRNA from 1 species
AGAAAUUGAGGUGAAGUGGAAAAAGGAGGUGGUUCCAGGGGGGUUUCUGCAUCUUCAGAUCAGACCAAUGUUGCAGGUUAGAGGAGGGAUUGUGGUGCAUGUGUGUGUGUGUGAGUGUGUGUGUUAGGGUGUGUUUCCCUGACCUCCAUUUCCUCCCAAACCUUUUCCUCUCCAGGAAGGUGGAGGGGGACGUUUCCCCCUUUGCAAGUGUUACAGAUUCUAUCCAAGGACGUGAACAGAAGGUUUCCCAGCACAGAGCGUCCUGAAAUUACUUUAUACUCCCCCCCUCCUUGUUUCAUCUAAUCAAAAUAGCAGCAUUAGGCUCACCCAUUCUCCCUGCCCACCCCUCAGCCCUGGGGGAGGGAGCGAGGCGGGCCAUCUUGCCUGACCCCCUUUGAGAGCACCUUGCAGGCCUGAGCCAAGGAGCUGUCUUCCAAAUCUCCUCUUUCCUCGGCGGCCCAUGCUUCAGUGGCAAGAGCCAGCUGCCUCCCUGCCUGCCAGCAACUGCCAAGCUCUUCCAGAACCCACAUCUAGGCCCGGCCUCAUUUACAAAUAUGCAAAUUUGCAUCUUUUCUGGUAUGCAAAUGGAGACAUGACAAAUAGCUAAUUAGGGUCAAAAGAAGCACUCUGAACCAAUUAGUUGUAGGGUCUAUCCCUUUCUCCUGGGAGAAGACUGGGCCUUCCUGCUCCCUUCCCAGCACUGACUCCCAAAUGCCCACACACUCUGGCAUCCUGUCUGGCUGGGGCCCUGACUGUGAAGAGCACUGAAACAGAAGUCAGUGCAUGGGCCUCAGUCUUACCUCUGACCUAGCCAUAUGACUCUGGACUCAUUUGACUGAGCCUCAGUCUCUUCCUCUGUGAAAUGGAGCAAUGGCAAUGACUAUCUUGUCCCUAACCAUCCACCCCAGCAUAGGGAGACUUGGGAGGACUUGGAUGUAAAUAGCCUUUGAAAACUGUACUACAGGCCAGGCGCGGUGGCUCACACCUGUAAUCCUAGCACUUU